ACGGGAGGCAGCAGUGAGGAAUAUUGGUCAAUGGGCGCGAUCCUGAACCAGCCAAGUCGCGUGAGGGAAGACGGUCCUAUGGAUUGUAAACCUCUUUUGUCGGGGAGCAAAAGACGCCACGUGUGGCGUUCCGAGAGUACCCGAAGAAAAAGCAUCGGCUAACUCCGUGCCAGCAGCCGCGGUAAUACGGAGGAUGCGAGCGUUAUCCGGAUUUAUUGGGUUUAAAGGGUGCGCAGGCGGAAGAUCAAGUCAGCGGUAAAAUUGAGAGGCUCAACCUCUUCGAGCCGUUGAAACUGGUUUUCUUGAGUGAGCGAGAAGUAUGCGGAAUGCGUGGUGUAGCGGUGAAAUGCAUAGAUAUCACGCAGAACUCCGAUUGCGAAGGCAGCAUACCGGCGCUCAACUGACGCUCAUGCACGAAAGUGUGGGUAUCGAACAGGAUUAGAUA
rnacentral:rRNA from 1 species